UACGUAGGGUGCGAGCGUUAAUCGGAAUUACUGGGUCGUAAGCGCACGUAGGCGGCUUUCUAAGUCAGGGUGAAAUCCUGGAGCUCAAACUCCAGACUGCCUUUGAUACUGUUGCGUUGGAGACCGGUAGAGGUAAGUGGAACUGCGAGUGUAGAGGUGAAAUUCGUAGAUAUUCGCAAGAACACCAGUGGCGAAGGCGGCUUACUGGACCGGUUCUGGACCGCUGAGGCGCGAAAGCGAUGGGGAGCAAAGCAGGG
rnacentral:rRNA from 1 species